rnacentral:rRNA from 1 species
CAGCAGCCGCGGUAAAACGAAGGGUGCAAGCGUUACUCGGAAUUACUGGGCGUAAAGCGUGCGUAGGUGGUGGUUUAAGUCCGUUGUGAAAGCCCUGGGCUCAACCUGGGAAUUGCAGUGGAUACUGGAUCACUAGAGUGUGGUAGAGGAUAGUGGAAUUUCCGGUGUAGCAGUGAAAUGCGUAGAGAUCGGAAGGAACAUCUGUGGCGAAAGCGACUAUCUGGGCCAACACUGACACUGAGGCACGAAAGCGUGGGGAGCAAACAGGAUUAGAUACCCGCGUAGUCCCUGUCUCUUAUAC